rnacentral:rRNA from 14 species
GCAAGCUUAAGCCGUUAGGUGUAGGCGCAGCGAAAGCGAGUCUUAAUAGGGCGUCGAGUUGGAUGGAUCAGACCCGAAACCGAGUGAUCUAGGCAUGACCAGGAUGAAGGUACGGUAACACGUACUGGAGGUCCGAACCCACACCUGUUGAAAAAGGUCGGGAUGAGUUGUGCCUAGGGGUGAAAGGCCAAUCAAACUCGGAGAUAGCUGGUUCUCUGCGAAAUCUAUUUAGG